GUAGGUGGCAAGCAUUGUCCGGAAUUAUUGGGCGUAAAGCGCGCGCAGGCGGUUCUUUAAGUCUGAUGUGAAAGCCCACGGCUCAACCGUGGAGGGUCAUUGGAAACUGGAGAACUUGAGUACAGAAGAGGAAAGCGGAAUUCCACGUGUAGCGGUGAAAUGCGUAGAGAUGUGGAGGAACACCAGUGGCGAAGGCGGCUUUCUGGUCUGUAACUGACGCUGAGGCGCGAAAGCGUGGGGGAGCAAACAGGAUUAGAUACCCUGGUAGUCCACGCCGUAAACGAUGAGUGCUAAGUGUUAGGGGGUUUCCGCCCCUUAGUGCUGCAGCUAACGCAUUAAGCACGCCGCCUGGGAGUACGACCGCAAGGUUG
rnacentral:rRNA from 1 species